GGGCCAUUAGCUCAUCUGGUAGAGCAUCUGCCUCUUAAGCAGGGGGUGGCAGGUCCGAGUCCUGCAUGGCCCA
rnacentral:tRNA from 1 species